CCUACGGGUGGCAGCAGUGGGGAAUAUUGCACAAUGGGGGAAACCCUGAUGCAGCAACGCCGCGUGAGUGAAGAAGUAUUUCGGUAUGUAAAGCUCUAUCAGCAGGGAAGAAAUGACGGUACCUGACUAAGAAGCCCAGGCUAACUACGUGCCAGCAGCCGCGGUAAUACGUAGGGGGCAAGCGUUAUCCGGGUUUACUGGGUGUAAAGGGAGCGUAGACGGGGAUGCAAGUCUGAAGUGAAAGGCGGGGGGCCAACCUCCGGACUGCGGUGGAAACUGUAUGGCUGGAGUGCAGGAGAGGUAAGUGGAAUUCGUGGUGUAGCGGUGAAAUGCGUAGAUAUUAGGAGGAACCCCAGUGGCGAAGGCGGCUUACUGGACUGUAACUGACGUUGAGGCUCGAAAGCGUGGGGAGCAAACAGGAUUAGAUACCCGUGUAGUC
rnacentral:rRNA from 1 species